rnacentral:rRNA from 1 species
GACGAACGCUGGCGGCGUGCUUAACACAUGCAAGUCGAACGGAAAGGCCCUGCUUUUGUGGGGUGCUCGAGUGGCGAACGGGUGAGUAACACGUGAGUAACCUGCCCUUGACUUUGGGAUAACUUCAGGAAACUGGGGCUAAUACCGGAUAGGAGCUCCUGCUGCAUGGUGGGGGUUGGAAAGUUUCGGCGGUUGGGGAUGGACUCGCGGCUUAUCAGCUUGUUGGUGGGGUAGUGGCUUACCAAGGCCUUGACGGGUAGCCGGCCUGAGAGGGUGACCGGCCAAAUUGGGACUGAGGUACGGCCCAAGACCCUACGGGGGGGCACAGGGGGGGAUUUUGCAACAUGGGCCGAAGGCUGAUGCCGCAACGGCGCGUGCGGGAUGACGGGCUUUGGGUUGUAAACCGCUUUCGCCUGUGACGAAGCGUGAGUGACGGUAAUGGGUAAAGAAGCACCAGCUAACUACGUG